GCCCUCUACAGCCUUCUGCAGCAGUCCAAGCGCAGCGAUGGCAUCACGGGAGUUCCGAGCGACCACCACAGCCUCCAGGAGGCUGCGUAAUGCUUGAGCUUGAGGAUUCAUGGCCAGAGUAUGGGGAAUGGACUGUAGGUGCUGCUCCAGUUCUGUCAUGCAUUUGUCAUAGAUUUGUGCUACAUCAUCUGUGGCCCAAGCUUGCUUCAUAGGUUGAGCCAAGAAUCCUGUAGGCUGAGUUAAGUCAUUGGUAGGCAAGAAGCCGGGGACGUUACGUGCGAACUCUUCGUAAACAGCCAGCUGUUUUGGGUCCACACCUCCAACCUUUAACCUGAUCUGUUCUGGCAUCCGUUCA
rnacentral:lncRNA from 1 species